UUUUAUUUGAGAGUUUGAUCCUGGCUCAGGAUGAACGCUGGCGGCGUGCCUAACACAUGCAAGUUGAGCGAUUUACUUCGGUAAAGAGCGGCGGACGGGUGAGUAACGCGUGGGUAACCUACCCUGUACACACGGAUAACAUACCGAAAGGUAUGCUAAUACGGGAUAAUAUAUUUGAGAGGCAUCUCUUAAAUAUCAAAGGUGAGCCAGUACAGGAUGGCCCCGCGUCUGAUUAGCUAGUUGGUAAGGUAACGGCUUACCAAGGCGACGAUCAGUAGCCGCCCUGAGAGGGUGAUCGGCCACAUUGGAACUGAGACACGGUCCAACCUCCUACGGGAGGCAGCAGUGGGGAAUAUUGCACAAUGGGCGAAAGCCUGAUGCAGCACCGCCGCGUGAGUGAUGAAGGCCUUCGGGUCGUAAAACUCUGUCCUCAAGGAAGAUAAUGACGGUACUUG
rnacentral:rRNA from 1 species